CCUACGGGGGGCAGCAGUGGGGAAUAUUGCACAAUGGGGGAAACCCUGAUGCAGCGACGCCGCGUGAGCGAAGAAGUAUUUCGGUAUGUAAAGCUCUAUCAGCAGGGAAGAAAAAUGACGGUACCUGAGUAAGAAGCACCGGCUAAAUACGUGCCAGCAGCCGCGGUAAUACGUAUGGUGCAAGCGUUAUCCGGAUUUACUGGGUGUAAAGGGAGCGCAGGCGGUGCGGCAAGUCUGAUGUGAAAGCCCGGGGCUCAACCCCGGGACUGCAUUGGAAACUACCGAACUAGAGUGUCGGAGAGGUAAGUGGAAUUCCUAGUGUAGCGGUGAAAUGCGUAGAUAUUAGGAGGAACACCAGUGGCGAAGGCGGCUUACUGGACGAUAACUGACGCUGAGGCUCGAAAGCGUGGGGAGCAAACAGGAUUAGAUACCCCAGUAG
rnacentral:rRNA from 1 species